UCCGUUCAGGUCCUAUCCCCUGACCAAUGGGCUAUCCUGAACUGAACCAUUCAAGGUCAGUUCCUAACCUCAACCAUCUACGCAUAUGCCACUCGUCUGCUACG